CUCAAGGUCGCUCACUUCCGCUUCCUGUUUCGGGGGAGAGAGCGGAAGGGGCGGGGCCCUAUAUGCCUACGCAGAGGGCUCUGCCCGCUACCCGUGGCUUCAGGCUACUUCGCCUUCACUUUAAACCUGAGUUAAUUCUUCUAUGGAAAAGAGCGUUCGCGUUUAACAUUAAAGAAAAAAAACAAAAAGAAGAAACGGCCCUCUUGGAACUUGCACCCAGUGCUCACCGGAACACGCCGGAAUCGCCAGAUCCGUGAAGACAGAAGGACGCUGGGGCCGGAAUCAACGUGCCCCGAACGGCGGGAGACGGUUUUCUUUCAGGAGAAAGGACACAAAUGCUGCUCUGGAGGCUUCUUACAAGGUGGGGGCUCAGCGGAUGGAGGAAAGGCCCCUCCGACGUGUCGCGACCACAUUUCCGGACCCGCCUCCUCCCGGGACCGGCGACCUCAGCGGCCGCCCCGACCCGACCCAACCUUGCGGGGAGGAGAGACCCGAGAGGACCGAGGGGCUCCAGUUAAUGUCAACGAUAGAACUGCCCUUUGACCCCCGCCCCAGUACCCAUCCCACCCCACCCCGAGCCCGUUCUGUCUCGCGGACCACACCAGGGCGGGGACGGCACCGAAGCGGACGAUCUCGCGAGACACAGAGGCCUUAGUCUCGCGGACGCACACUUCCGCUUCCGGUUCCAGAGGCAGGGCGAAAAGGUGAAUAAGCUAACAAAUGUUAGCUACUUCUCUUCGUUCCUGCGUUGUGAAGAUACAGGACUUGACAUGGCAAAUCAGGUAACGUGCUGCCAUCUGCUGAGAACAAAGAAUAUUACACUCCAUAGCAAGCAACUUUAUUGAAACCAACCAGAAAAUCUUCCUUCCCUGCAGGAACGUUCUCAAUAUUUGGGUUUUAGCAUCCGCCUAAGCUUGGGCUGUUGGGAAUGAGACAGGACAGUUUAACAGAUGAGAACACUGAAGCCCAGGGUCAUCUACACCCAAUAUUUCCACUUCAUCCCCAGCAAACAGGCUAAAGGAAUUUAGGGAGCGUCUCUGAAUUCCUGGAGAAAGAGUGAAUGGCAAGUGCAAAGGUCCUGAGGCGGGAGAGGGCUCAUCCUCUUUGACCAACAGAAGGCCAACAACUGAAAUGGUUUAACUGAGGCGGACAAGAUGGAGACUAGCAGAAAGCGACGGUCGAAGUAAUGGAGUCAGAUCAUACAGGGCCAGUUAAGCAACUGUAAGAAUUUUUGGUUUUACUCUGAGCAAUGGGGAGCCAAUGAAGGGUUUUGAGCUACCAGAGUGAAAUUAUCAGAUAUACAUUUUUAAAGGAGCUCUGUCUUUUGCACUCAAACCCUAAGAUCUGCAAGUAUCUCAAAGGAAAAGCAGAAAAACUUCUUUUGUAGGGAGAGAUAAGUGAAGCUUUAAAAUGUUUUUGCGUCUAAAGAGGGGUUUUGGACAUGGGCCCCACUUAAGAAGUGUUAAAGUUCGGGAUCCUGUGGGGAAGAGGGAAGCUUAACUGAAGGAAGCCUUAACUUUCUUCAAGAGUCCAGGCUACUGGGUUGGAGUAUGAUAAUUUCAGGUAUUUACUUCUAGCUAUUCCAAUACAUUAAAACCCAGUAAGUGUUAUCUAUGUAGUGCAUAAGAAUGUCCACCAGAGGGACCUCUCGACUCCAUUUGAAAUCUCUCAGCCACGGAAACUUUAUUUCAUUUCAUUUUGCAUCCCCCUUUUGGUCAAGUCAAUUAAUGAGUCCACAAAUCAUUAAAAACCUAAAUAAGUCUCUUCUCAGUUUCCCAACUC